rnacentral:lncRNA from 1 species
GGGGGCGCGCGCGCGGUUAGCGGGCAGCGAGGGUCACCUGGGCGGUGCGCAGCACGGCGGGAACAUGGCGCGCGGAACCGGCGCGCGCGCCUAGCUGGCGGGACCGUUAGAUCGAGGCGGAUGCGGCCCGGACCCCGUGGAUAUGGAGCAAUCGCCGCCGCUGGCGCCGGAGCCCACCCAAGGGCCAACCACCACAAGGAGCUGAAGGCGGCGGGAGCCCGAGUCGCCGCCGGCGUCGGUGCCGUCAAAGAAGAUGGCCAGGGAGACAGCAGCGUGGUCAGAGUGGUAGGAGCUGGCCAUCGGUGAGAGCUGCUCCAUGCCUGGCUGCUGGGUGCUAGAGCUUGUGGACCACUGGCUUGCCUCACUGUGGUUGGUGGUGGCGGUGACAGAGUGUGCAGCACGACCAGAGUGGCUUUUCUGGCUUUGCCCGCCCAGCUGCUCCAUGCCAGGAGGAGGAGGAGACACCUAGAGCCUGCGACACCAUGGCUCGCCUCGCUGCAGUGUAGGUUCUACCCAUGUAACAGAUGAGGAAACCAAGGAGCACAGUUAUUUACUAACUCGCACAAGGCAAGUUUCAAAAUUGUCUUUGAAAAUAAUGAUUGCUUUUAAGGUUUAUUCUAUAAUGGUUUAAGAUCAUGGGUUACAGAAGUAGAACAACAGUGUCUAAUUACUAGUUCUAAUAAUUCUUAUCGGAUUUGUUGAGAUUUUAUACACAUACAUGUUUGUUUUUGUGUAUAAGUAUAUAUGUAACAAUGUAUUACACAUAUGAAUUAACUGUUUAAUAUGUGUGAACUAUUAUAUUCAUUACUUGGCAUUAAUGUUUAGGUUGUUUCGAUUUUACCCUCAAAAUGUAAUGACUUUUUGAGAGCCUAUAUCAAAUUAUUGGAAAUACAAAUGUAUUUUAAAAGGGAUUAGGGAUUCUUAGUAUUUGAAUAUGAAUUGUGAAGAUUAGUAUUGAAAAAACUCUUGGUAACUUAGCAGGAGUAGCUGCAAAGGUGUUCCUUCUUUUCCUAAAUGAAUUAUAAAGUAUAAGAGUAUUAAAGUCUACUUGUUUUUACUGCUAAAUAUAUAUAUAUAUAUAUGUAGAAUUUGAAGCUUUAGUUCAUCUAACUACGAUUCCUCUCUCAGAGCCUUUCCUGAGGAAAUUUUUUUUUUGGUGGAGAGACUGAGAACACGAGGUGCACAGUGACCAGCUAAAGGGAGAAUGAGGCAGUUCCAAAAUGAAUUAUAAAGUAUACGAGUAUUAAAGUCUACUUGUUUUUUAUUGCUAAAGUUGUGUAUAUGUGUGUGUGUAUAUAUAUAUAUAUAUAUAUAUGUAUGAAAAUGUAGAAUUUGAAGCUUUGGUUCAUCUAACUGUGAUUCCUCUACCAGAGCCUUUCCUGAGGAAAUUUCUUACCCUGGGCCAUCUGUCCUGUGUGUCUGUCCUCCUUGUGAUCAGUUAUUUGCACAGUGGCUCUGACCUGGCAGCCCACCUCUGGGUCCCCACUCCCCCAGAACUUCCCAGUCUGCCUUCUCCUGCCAGACACCCUGAGGCAGCUGUGUCCCCCAGACAUAGCCUGGAUGGGUAUGCACCUGUCCCCACCACCGUCUGUCACCUCUGCUCCACACCUGACCAGUGGCCAGCACCACACUGGGGUUGACUGCCUUCACCGUGUCCAUGCCUGCUCCGGCAGUGGGAGCUCAGUGCCAGGCUGUGGGGGGCAUCUUGGAAAGCAGAGGUGUCCCUGCAGGAUCUCUAUGAGACUGUGUUGUCGGUGGCCGCGCUGGUUUCCCCGGAGUAGCGCCCGAUGUCACUGCCGAGACCUUAACGGAAGGUGCGCGUCCAGUCCUCGCACUGCUGUGUGUUCUGGUCAGAAUGGAAGUGGUGGCCUCCACUAGGAGCUUCUGUGCUUUGGGAGAAUUUGUCCAAACUGUGGUCCCGUUUGUUCUCCAAUCCUGUGUAGACACCAUGACCCAGUUGUGUAAACACAGGCCCCUUGCAGCUCAGAGGCUGCCCUCUGAGAGUCACCGUCGUGUCGCUUUGGGGAAAAGAUGAGCCCGCCCGGUUCCUCUCUGUGCACCUCAUGCCUGGGGCUCCGUCCCGUCCUGGGUGGGUUUUCACCUGCACCGCUGGCCCCUCCCCCGGGAGCGUUGGUGGAGCCGGCUUUCUCAGCCAGGAGCCUGUUGCGGGGUCAGCGGCUGGAGCUCAAGGUCGGCUCAGGGGACUUUCUCGUGCUGGAGGUUGGCUGCGGAGCAGCCUGCAUUUCUCGGAAAACAGGGCCCAGGGCCUGCUCCACGCCGCUGUCCACGUCUUCACCAUCCCCUCGUUGCAGGUUCGAGGCCGAGCUCAGACCUGUGGAGCAGAAGCUGAGUGCGCUGCAGUCCCCGCUGGCCCAGAGGCCCUUCUUCGAGGUGCCCUCACCCCUGGGCGCCGUGGACCUGUACGAGUAUGCAUGCGGGGAUGAGGACCUGGAGCCACUGUGACGCCACCCAUGAGAACGCCGCUGCGGGGCCGCUCCACACGUGCCACGGCCACCACUGGGACACCGCCGCUUGUGUAAAAACUGUUGUCUUUUGUGGAAAAUGAGUGUGUUUGCAUGGAAUGAUAAAUUUUUAUUUAUUCACA